rnacentral:lncRNA from 1 species
UCGGUAGCUGUUUUUCUUAAAAUUAUUGGGUCUUUGCUUGCUCUUAAAAUAUAAUAUGGACAAUCAGUGUCAUCAGCCUUAACUGCAAAAAUUGUUCCAUUUGAAACAAAGUCACAAAUAUUAGUCUCGUCAUCAACCCCUUCGUCGUUAUUGGAAUCGGCAUCAGAGUCAUUAUGUUCCGAUUCUUUCACCAUUUUUAUUUUAUUAUAUGUUCCCAAUUGUGC